AUUGAACGCUGGCGGCAGGCCUAACACAUGCAAGUCGAGUCGGAAAACGACUUUAACUAGAACCUUCGGGGGAACGUUAAGGGCGUCGAGCGGCGGACGGGUGAGUAAUGCCUAGGAAUUGCCUUGAUGUGGGGGAUAACCAUUGGAAACGAUCGGCGUAAUACCGCUAUGAUGUCCUACGGGCCAAAGACGGGGGACCUUCGGGACCUCUCGCGUCGAAGAUAUGCCUAGGUGGGAUUAGCUAGUUGGUGAGGUAAUGGCUCACCAAGGCGACGAUCCCUAGCUGGUCUGAGAGGAUGAUCAGCCACACUGGAACUGAGACACGGGUCCAGACUCCUACGGGAGGCAGCAGUGGGGAAUAUUGCACAAUGGGCGCAAGCCUGAUGCAGCC
rnacentral:rRNA from 1 species